rnacentral:rRNA from 1 species
GACGUAGGUGGCGAACGUUAUCCGGAAUUAUUGGGCGUAAAGGGUGCGCAGAUGGUCUGACAAGUUAGCAGUGGGAAAUCGAGGCUCAACCUCGUGGAAGCUGGUAAUACUGUCUGACUCGAGUACAGGAGAGGUUAACGGAACUCCAUGUGGAACGGUAAAAUGUGUAGAUAUAUGGAAGAACACCAAUAACGGCGAAGGCAGUUAACUAUUCUGUUACUGACAUUAAGGCACGAAAGCGUGGGGAGCAAAACGG